rnacentral:rRNA from 1 species
GAUCAUGGCUCAGGAUGAACGCUAGCUACAGGCUUAACACAUGCAAGUCGGAGGGGCAGCAUGAAAAGGAACUUUCGGUUUCUUUUUUGAUGGCGACCGGCGCACGGGUGCGUAACGCGUAUCGAACCUGCCUCAUACGUCGGGGAUAGCCUUGCGAAAAUAAGAUUAACUACCCGGCGGUCUCGGACGGCCGCAUGACAGUCCGAGUGAAGAUUUAUCGGUAUGAAAUGGCGAUGCGUCCCAUUAG